UUAUUAUAGAGUAUCUGUCUCUUGGCUUCCUGAGAAUCUGUCAUGAUUAAAUAGUGAAUGAAAGAAACUGAAUGGAAUUUGCUGUACCAUUGUGCCCAGAAUUGGUUCCUUCCGGUGGGUUCUUCGUCUGGCUGACUUCAAGAAUGAAGCUGUGGAUCCUCGCAAGAAUAGAGAAAAAACAUUGUUUUCUGAAAAACAACUCUGCAAAAACACUGACAUUAACAAAAAACACACCUGCUUGGAAAAGGGGAUAACAUGUUGGUCAAUGGUUAAAUUAUAUUUACUUUGAUAUGUCUCUGCAGGUUAAAUCAAUACCUAUAUGAAGCUUGAAGUUCACAUUUAUUAUGGAGGGCACUUGUAAAAGUGUAUUUGAAGCCUGUAAGAGCCAGAAGGACUCAGUCAUAUGCUGCCUUCUGUGCCUGAUGUUUUCUUUUGAACUAGGGAGAGACGUGAACAUACAGUCUGUUAUUGUAGCUUGUGCACAAAGACUCAAAUAAGAAAGAUGCGGGUGUCUGUAUAAGAAAAGGUUUAGAAAACUUGGCACAUAUUCUAUGAAUGUUAAGAACUUGUAUUAUUGUAAUUCUGUAAGUCUAAAUACAAUUGAAGGAAACAAACAUCUCUAUGUAUAAUGAGAUUAACUGAAACAUAAUUGAACAAAACUGGAAAUAAAGAAAAAUCUAUCAAAUAA
rnacentral:lncRNA from 1 species